rnacentral:lncRNA from 1 species
AAAUCCACAAAGACAAAGAAAAUGAGAGAUGAGACAACAGCAAGAAAUUGGAGAAGAUGGAAUGCAAAUGGAAGAGGGGUAACUGAUUCAACAGAUGCAAAGAAGCUAAACCUUAAACCAACAGUGAGAAAGCAAAAUAUGAAAGUUAAAAAGCAGUUUUGUUUAUCCACACAACCUUCUGGACCCAGGAUUUGGUAGCACCAGUGACCUCUGGGAGUGGGGGUGACUGUGAGGUCAACUGAUACUACAUCAACCAGAGCCCCCACCCUUCCGAUGAGAACAUGGCCUAGAGAAAAAAUAAAAAUAUAAGGAAAAAAAGAAAAAAAACCCUAAAAACCAAAGCGCCUUCACCCUAAAUAACAUGAUCUAGAAGCUCAAAUGCUGAUGAGGAUAUGGAGCAAAAGAAAUUCUCAUUCAUUGAUGGAAGGAAUGCAAAAUGGUACAGCCACUGUGGAAGACAGUUUCUUACAAAACUAAACCUACUCUUAUAAUAGCAUCCAGCAAUUGUACUCCUUGGUAUUUACCUAAAUAAGUUGAAAACUUACAUCCUUACAGAAACCUGCAUACAGAUGUUUAUAGCAGCUUUAAUUAUGAUUGACAGAACUUUAAAGCAACCAAGCUGUACUUCAACAGUUUGUCCAGGUCGAGAAUCAGGGCAUGGUUUAGCUGGGCACUUCUGGCUCAAGGUCUCUCAUGAGAUUACAGUCAAGUUAUCAGCCAGGGCUGCAGUCUCAUGUGAAGAUUCAACUGGGGUAAGGAUCCGCUUCCAACCUCAAUUAUGUGUGGUUAUUGAUCACAGGAUGAGUGGGCGUCUCCACAGGGCCACCUCAGGACAUGAAUGCUGUCAUCUCCCAGGGCAAGCAACACAAAAGAGAGCACCCACAAUGGAAGACUAAUCUUAUUUAUAAACUAAUCUUAAAAUGGACAUCCUGUCACUUCUGUCAUAUUUUAUUUGAUAGAAGCAAGUCCCUAAGUCCAGCCCAUACUAAAGGAGACAUGACUACAUAAAGAUAUUACAAAUGUAGGGAAUCCCCAA